GGAAUAUAAGAACCCGUCUCUUAACUUUUAACUAAAAAAGCUAAAAACCGGUUCUUAAAUAAGAUACUUAAGAGCCGGUUCUUAGUUUUUUUAGUUAAAAGGUAAGAGACAGGUUUUUAUAUUCC
rfam:Brassica napus, WGS project CCCW01000000 data, contig: 6633